rnacentral:rRNA from 1 species
AAAUUGAAGAGUUUGAUCAUGGCUCAGAUUGAACGCUGGCGGCAGGCCUAACACAUGCAAGUCGAACGGUAACAGGAAGCAGCUUGCUGUUUCGCUGACGAGUGGCGGACGGGUGAGUAAUGUCUGGGAAACUGCCUGAUGGAGGGGGAUAACUACUGGAAACGGUGGCUAAUACCGCAUAACGUCGCAAGACCAAAGAGGGGGACCUUCGGGCCUCUUGCCAUCAGAUGUGCCCAGAUGGGAUUAGCUAGUUGGUGAGGUAACGGCUCACCAAGGCGACGAUCCCUAGCUG